GUUUUUAUGGUGUAAAUUCAACACAUUGUAUUUUCAUUACAAAACUAAAGAGCUUCUUUUAAAAACU
rnacentral:tRNA from 1 species